rnacentral:rRNA from 1 species
AACGAACGCUGGCGGCAUGCCUAACACAUGCAAGUCGAACGAGACCUUCGGGUCUAGUGGCGCACGGGUGCGUAACGCGUGGGAACCUGCCCUUAGGUUCGGAAUAACUCCCCGAAAGGGGUGCUAAUACCGGAUAAUGUCUUCGGACCAAAGAUUUAUCGCCUUUGGAUGGGCCCGCGUUGGAUUAGCUAGUUGGUAGGGUAAAAGCCUACCAAGGCGACGAUCCAUAGCUGGUCUGAGAGGAGGAUCAGCCACACUGGGACUGAGACACGGCCCAGACUCAUACGGGAGGCAGCAGUGGGGAAUAUUGGACAAUGGGCGAAAGCCUGAUCCAGCAAUGCCGCGUGAGUGAUGAAGGCCUUAGGGUUGUAAAGCUCUUUUACCCGGGAUGAUAAUGACAGUACCGGGAGAAUAAGAUCCGGCUAACUCCGUG